rnacentral:rRNA from 1 species
AUGGUAAGGACGAUGGCCAAGGAGCUCAAGGGCACGCGCGUCACGGCCAACUGCGUGGCUCCGGGGGCUACGGCCACGGACUUGUUCUUCGCCGGGAAGAGCGACGAGACCGUGAGGCGGGUCGCGGAGACGAACCCAAUGGAGCGGCUCGGGGAGACAGGCGACAUAGCACCGGUGGUCGGCUUCCUCUGCACGGACGCCGCCGAGUGGGUUAACGGGCAGGUCAUUCGGGUCAAUGGUGGGUAUGUCUGA